GACUAGGACGUUGAUAGGUUGGAUGUGGAAGCAUAGUGAUAUGUGAAGCUGACCAAUACUAAUUGCUCGUGAGGCUUGACUAU
rnacentral:rRNA from 1 species